GUCUGGAUCGUGGUGCUGAAGGACUUUCCAGCAGGAAUGAGCGAGGCUGACGCCGCCGGCGCUGCUCCCUGUUCAUCUUAAAAUAGCGGGUCUGCUCCCGGCGGCGGGCGGGAGCGGCGCGGCGCGGGGAUGCUCUUCGCCUCUGGGGCAGCCGGCGGUGGGAAUGCCGAGAGCCGAGCACCUUACGGGGCUCUUCCCGGUCUGUGUUUGAGCUUGUAGCUCGCUCUUCUUCUGCUUUGUGUGGAAUAUGCUUGAGCUUCUGCUGCAGCCAGGACUCCGCGCUUAACGAUGCUCCAACUGUGAGUCUUCAGAGCUAGGUGGGAUUUAGUGCCUGGCGUGAGGCAGGAAUGAAGGCAAGUUUGGAUAGCGGCUCUUCGGCUUAAGCUGCUGUACCACUGAUGUGCUUUCCUGUGUGCUGCUUUUAUUACUGUUUGCAAAAUACCAGGUGUCCACGCAGUUUUAAGCCUUGUCCAUUGAGAAAAAUAAACCACUCGAGAGGGAGUCAGUAACAACAUCCAGUAGGUUUCUGGUUUUAAAAUUGUUUGACUUGCCUGAUUUCCGUAUAAUUUAUCUACAAGAGCCAAUUUAUGCAAGACUAUCCAGCUACAGAACUGCCAAGGCUAUGAGAGAACGCAGCCAGCAGAGCCUCGGUGGACACGUCCUGUAUGUAGGGUUAUUCCGACAUCCAGGAAUGCUGCACAGGGCUAAGUACAGCCGGUUCAGGAAUGACUCGAUAACAUCCCUUGAUGAAGGUACACAAAAUACGUCUUUAAAUAUUAAAGGUUCUUCCUCCUCUUCCCAUUCUUCGUCACCUAAUUUACUUGCAGAAGAUGUCUCCUUGGGGCCACAGGACACCUGCAGCACCCUGUGCACGCUGAUCCCCCGCAUGGCUAACAUUAAACUUGCCAACCCAUCAAAUCUGCCGGGGCUGAAAAGCUUCUGUCUGGGAAUGAAAGAGGUGCCACGGAUUAAGCUCACGGAGUGUGUUACCAUCCCGAGCAGCCCAACCUCGCCUGAGAUCAGCUGCCUGUCGGCCUCCUACCCACAGCCUGACCUGGACAAGCUGGCCCUAAUCCCAAAGGCAGCGGGUGACUGUGCCGUGCGGGGAGCAGAGGAGGCCGCUCCCAUGGGCAGGCAGGACAGGAGCCUUGCACAGAGCCGUGAGAGCGUGGCGGAGCCGGGAACGACCUACAGCGUGCGGUACAUGGGCUGCAUUGAAGUGCUGCAGUCAAUGAGGUCCCUGGACUUUGGCACACGAACGCAAGUCACCAGGGAAGCAAUAAGCCGGCUGUGCGAAGCUGUAUCAGGUACAAAUGGAGCUAUAAAAAAGCGGAAGCCUCCAGUGAAGUUUCUAUCUUCUGUACUUGGCAAAAGUAACCUUCAGUUUUCUGGUGUGAAUAUAAAGCUGACCAUUUCAACAAGCAGCCUCACUUUGAUUAAUGUUGACACGCAGCAGAUUAUUGCCAACCAUCACAUGCAGUCCAUCUCAUUUGCUUCUGGAGGUGACCCAGAUACAACAGACUACGUUGCAUACGUAGCAAAAGAUCCUGUUAAUCAGAGAGCAUGCCACAUACUGGAAUGUCCCAAUGGGAUGGCGCAGGAGGUGAUAAACACCAUAGGGCAGGCUUUUGAGCUCCGGUUCAGACAGUACCUGAAGAACCCCUCUAGCCUGGUUACGUCUAAUGAAAGCGAGGCAGCAAAUGCUAAUGGAUCAGCUGGGAAUUCGCAGGAGAGGGAGGAUCGUGAAUAUUACAACGAAAUUCCAGGGAAAGAGCCUCCCACCGGUGGAGUAUUAGACAUGCGAAUGAAAGUGCAAACAGAGCAAAGGGCUAACUGUCUUACACAGUGCAAAAAGCACUACUGCUUGACAGGCAGCCCAACAUUCAUCAAUAUAUAUGAAAAUUGUCCAGAAGAAAACAAAACUGUGGGUAACUGUGUUGAAAGAUCACAGAAGACAAAAAAAGAGGCAACAUUAUUGAAGCCUGCCUACAAAACAGAUCUUUUUGAUGAUCCGUGUUACAUCAACACUCAGACCCUGCAGUCUGCAGUCUGUACAGCCCGCGGUACAGCAACAAUACAGACCCAUGGGAGCCCACUGCGUCAGGCCAGCAGAGUUACCGGAAGCUGUUCAGCAGAGUGCCACAAGCAACACAGCUGGUCUCUGUGUUCUGCCACAAAUAAAGCAGCAGCUAAAGAAUGAAGACUGUUACCAUGGCAAAUUAAACAGGAAAGCAGCAGAGAGCCUCUUAGUCAACGAUGGGGAUUUUCUGGUGCGAGAGAGCACAACGUCACCUGGCCAGUAUGUCCUCAGUGGACUUCAGGGAGGGCAAGCAAAGCAUCUGCUUUUGGUGGACCCUGAGGGCAAGGUGAGAACCAAAGACCAUAUAUUUGAUAGUGUGGGUCAUCUUAUUCAGUAUCACAUGGAAAAUAAUUUGCCAAUCAUCUCUUCUGGAAGCGAAGUGAGCUUGAAGCAGCCUGUAAGGAAAGACAGUAAUGUGGGACACGUGCAGUAUCACAAAUAAUCCCUUGGAUCUCACAAAUCCCAAGACAAUUCAUGUUUGAAAACUGUCUAGAACUUUCUAUUAUGAAGACAAUUCAAAACAGUAGAGACUGCACUUUCUGCUGCUGUUCCAGAAGACCCUUUUGUGUGUGUAUGUAUGAAUAUAUGUAUAUGUGUAUAUCUAUGUAGAUCUGUAGAGAUCAACAGGCAUAGUUAUAUAGAUAUAUAUAAUCUUAAUGAAAUUACACCUUCAGAGUGGGAGAUUCAUUUGUGAGAAGGUAUUUUAGACAUGCACAAAUGUCACUUUCAAGGUCAUACUGAAUCAGUAACUAUUUAAAAGCACAAUUAAACCUCUACAUGCAAAUGCUCACUUGAACGAACUGCUGGAACAUUAGUAUGUGCCUUUUAGCUUAGGAUUAUUGGAAACCAAUAUUAUUUAUACUGAAUUAGUUUUGGGUGGUUAAACAAACAUGUCUAUGCUGUUAACUAUUUGCCAAAACAAGUACAAUUUGAAUAUUACUAAAAUGUCAUCUGCUUUCGAUAGACACUAACAAUUUCAUUUUGCUUGUAACAGCACUUUACUAGCAAGUAAUGUUUGAAAUGAGUAGCAUUCACAAUACAGAAAGGUUGUCCGUUUUCUUAAUCAUUUUUUAUCACUGUCUGACGACUCAAAGAUUUGAGAUUAUGCAACAUUUACAAAGUUGAAAUUAAUAUAUGUAAUAUAAUUUUGGAAUAGAACUUGUUAAAGGACAAGCAUGCUAGAUCCUAAUAUUUUUGUCUUGCAUAUGAUUUUACUAUUACUACCAAUUAAUACUGGAGACAUCUCUUUUUAAAGGUAGCCUAAAUAUAUUUUCAUUGAUUACAUAGUUGUUUACAAACUAGAGAAGCGGAACAAAACUAAUGAUACAUUUUGAAAGAAAACUAUUUAAAAGAUGUUUGAACUUUGCAUGUGCUCUUAUCCAAUGUUCUUUCCAAAACAAGAUACAGUUUUCCCUUUCUUCACGUAGAGUCCAUUUGUUCCUAAACAUGGUAAAAAGUCUUUUAAAGGAAACCUAUGAAUUGUUUUGCCACAAUAAAUAAAUAUGAACAAUCCUA